CCUACGGGAGGCAGCAGUGGGGAAUUUUGGACAAUGGGGGCAACCCUGAUCCAGCCAUGCCGCGUGUGUGAAGAAGGCCUUCGGGUUGUAAAGCACUUUCGGACGGAACGAAAUCGCGCGAGUGAAUAUCCCGCGUGGAUGACGGUACCGUAAGAAGAAGCACCGGCUAACUACGUGCCAGCAGCCGCGGUAAUACGUAGGGUGCGAGCGUUAAUCGGAAUUACUGGGCGUAAAGUGUGCGCAGGCGGCGUCGCAAGUCGAGUGUGAAAGCCCCGAGCUUAACUUGGGAAUUGCGCUCGAAACUACGGCGCUGGAGUAUGGCAGAGGAAGGUGGAAUUCCACGUGUAGCGGUGAAAUGCGUAGAGAUGUGGAGGAACACCGAUGGCGAAGGCAGCCUUCUGGGCCAAUACUGACGCUCAUGCACGAAAGCGUGGGGAGCAAACAGGAUUAGAUACCCUGGUAGUCCACGCCCUAAACGAUGAUGACUAGUUGUUGGAGGAGUUAAAUCCUUUAGUAACGCAGCUAACGCGUGAAGUCAUCCGCCUGGGGAGUACGGUCGCAAGAUUAAAACUCAAAGGAAUUGACGG
rnacentral:rRNA from 1 species